UACGUAGGGUGCAAGCGUUAAUCGGAAUUACUGGGCGUAAAGCGUGCGCAGGCGGUGAUGUAAGACAGGUGUGAAAUCCCCGGGCUUAACCUGGGAACUGCAUUUGUGACUGCAUCGCUGGAGUGCGGCAGAGGGGGAUGGAAUUCCGCGUGUAGCAGUGAAAUGCGUAGAGAUGUGGAGGAAUACCGAUGGCGAAGGCAGCCCCCUGGGAUAACACUGACGCUCAUGCACGAAAGCGUGGGGAGCAAACAGG
rnacentral:rRNA from 1 species